rnacentral:rRNA from 1 species
GACGAACGCUGGCGGCGUGCCUAAUACAUGCAAGUCGAACGCAGUGGGGCCGGGUGAGUAACACGUGGGUAACCUCCCAUCAGAGGGGAUAACGCUUGGAAACAGGUGCUAAACCGAUACUGAUGGAUGGCACCGUGGUGCAUUACGUAGUUGGUGGGGUAACGGCGCACAAAGGCCAAGAUGCAUAGCCGACCUGUGAGGGUGAUCGGCCACACGGGGACUGAGACACUGCCCAGAGUCCUACGUGAGGCAGCAGUAGGGAAUUUUCGGCAGUGGACGAAAGUCUGACCGAGCAAUGCCGCGUGAGUGAAGAAGGUUUUCGGAUCGUAAAACUCUUUUGUUAGAGAAGCGGUAUCUAACCAGAAAGCCACGGCUAACUACGUGCCAGCAGCCGCGGUAAUUC